rnacentral:RNase_P_RNA from 1 species
CUAGCCGAUUGGGCAAUCGCUGCUGAACUGAGAUGUAAAUCUAGUUUAGGGGAGGAAAGUCCGGGCUCCAUAGGGCAAGAUGCCAGGUAACGCCUGGGCGGCGCAAGUCGACGGAAAGUGCCACAGAAAAUAUAC